rnacentral:snoRNA from 1 species
AUGCAUCUCUGACAGCCCUGGAGUAGUUAUGUCUGCUGCUAAGGUUUCUCUAUGGAUGCAAGAAAAAGAAGUCCUCACACUUUCUGUCUGUCUGGUUGUGGCAGCUAAGAUUGAAUGUGAGAAUACGAGA